rnacentral:rRNA from 1 species
UUAUCCUACGGGGGGCAGCAGUGGGGAAUAUUGGGCAAUGGGCGCAAGCCUGACCCAGCAACGCCGCGUGAAGGAAGAAGGCUUUCGGGUUGUAAACUCCUUUUCUCAGGGACGAAUAGAUGACGGUACCUGAGGAAUAAGCCACGGCUAACUACGUGCCAGCAGCCGCGGUAAUACGUAGGUGGCAAGCGUUAUCCGGAUUUACUGGGUGUAAAGGGCGUGUAGGCGGGGACGCAAGUCAGAUGUGAAAACCACGGGCUCCACCUCUGGCCUGCCUUUGAAACUGUGUUUCUUGAGUACUGGAG